UACGUAGGGUGCAAGCGUUGUCCGGAAUUAUUGGGCGUAAAGAGCUUGUAGGCGGUUUGUCGCGUCUGCUGUGAAAUUUCGGGGCUCAACCCCGAACUUGCAGUGGGUACGGCAGACUAGAGUGUGGUAGGGGAGACUGGAAUUCCUGGUGUAGCGGUGAAAUGCGCAGAUAUCAGGAGGAACACCGAUGGCGAAGGCAGGUCUCUGGGCCAUAACUGACGCUGAGAAGCGAAAGCAUGGGGAGCGAACAGG
rnacentral:rRNA from 1 species